AUGCAAACACUUCCACUGGCUGGAGUGAUUUCUGGGAAUGUGAUAUUUGGACCACCGCUCCAGAAGUACUGGGCAGAGAAGCAGCAGCAAGAACAGGCGGCAAAAGAAGGCCAAAAUGGGUCGACUUAA
rnacentral:rRNA from 1 species